rnacentral:tRNA from 1 species
GCGGGCGUAGUAUAAUGGUAGUAUGCGACCUUCCCAAGGUUGAGGCGUGGGUUCGAUUCCCAUCGUCCGCUCAA